GUGUGUGUUUGUCUUCGCAUCUCUAAUGGCGAUUAGUGUUGAGCAGACGAUUUUUCAUCUUCUUCCUUAAGGAAGGAACGGUUCAUCUACGAUGUAUAAAGAGAUUUUGCAAGGCCAUGAUGUGAAAAGAUACAGCAAGCUUAUGGGGUCGAUCUACUUCUUCUCGACGAUACGGUACCUCUGGCGAUUUGAAAAAUAAACGCUUCCAUUUUCCUGAUUUAUAGGAGGGUGAUGGGAGACGACUAUUUACAGUGAAUCUCUGGAGCGAGAAGAAAUCCAGACCAAAUGACACGAACAGUAUCUCGCUCCAACGACGUCUAAAUGGGUUUUUGGAUUUUUACCUAUCCUUGCAGGCUGGAUUGUAAACCUUCAACGAGUCAUAGGAUUAUGAACUGAACGUGAUCUUUCUGUAAGGGUCAAUACCUAUGGCAAGACAACUGAUUUUGCUUCUAAUUAUAUCAUCAUAUAAUUUAAAAUUAAAACCUCAUGUUGGAGAAAAAUUGCAAUUAUAAAUGAAAAUUGUUGGUGUUUAUCUA